rnacentral:rRNA from 1 species
UCGUCGAGCAGAUUGCUGUUUGCAAUUUCUUGAUGUGAAGGCACA